AGAAGCUUGCUUCUCUUGAGAGCGGCGGACGGGUGAGUAAUACCUAGGAAUCUGCCUGAUAUGGGGGAUAACGUUCGGAAACGGACGCUAAUACCGCAUAGUCCUACGGGAGAAAGCAGGGGACCUUCGGGCCUUGCGCUAUAAGAUGAGCCUAGGUCGGAUUAGCUAGUUGGUGAGGUAAUGGCUCACCAAGGCUACGAUCCGUAACUGGUCUGAGAGGAUGAUCAGUCACACUGGAACUGAGACACGGUCCAGACUCCUACGGGAGGCAGCAGUGGGGAAUAUUGGACAAUGGGCGAAAGCCUGAUCCAGCCAUGCCGCGUGUGUGAAGAAGGUCUUCGGAUUGUAAAGCACUUUAAGUUGGGAGGAAGGGCAUUAACCUAAUACGUUAGUGUCUUGACGUUACCGACAGAAUAAGCACCGGCUAACUCUGUG
rnacentral:rRNA from 1 species